GGGAUCGACCCAAAAACCAUCUGAUUAGUAGAUGACCUGCUCCACCUCCUGAGCCACAGCCACCCCUUUCAGAGGUAAAGAAUGAUUUAGAAAGAGCUGGCGUCAUGUUGUGGAAGCUGCCAUCUUGCCCCACCAUCAUACACUGGCUGAGAUGGGCAUCGCUGCGCCGCCUUUUCAUGUUUUAUGCAUUACGCUGACGGAGGGAUGGAUGGACCAUGAAUGCUUUCUCAUCCUUCUUGUCAUGCACCAUGGAAGUGUCUGAGGGGCUUUUCCACUUGGAAUGGGGAUACUGUGUCCACACUUCAGAGGUGGAGUUUCCAGCAUCUCACCUGGGCCUCAUCUGCAAACAAUCAGCAGGAGGGCUUCUUAAACCAGCGCUGCCUGCUACUCCUCGCCAGUUUGUUCUGCCAUCUCCAGUGAAUUCCCGUUGGAUUGUUCCCAUCAGGAGCCAGGUGUUCAGUCUCUCGAUAGCUUUUCCUCUGGUUCCUGCUGUCUGCUGACACUCCUAGCUCGAGCCACGUUCUCCAUUCCCUCUCUAAAGUCUCAUAAAUAGUUUAACCAUGUGCAUUGAAUCUGCAUUUGGGUCUAAGCUUUCUAUGCAGGGAAGAAAUCAUCACAGUGACAUCUAUUUAAUUUUCAAUUCAAUUUUAUUUAAAGAGCGCCAAAUGACAGCAACAGUCAC